rnacentral:tRNA from 1 species
GGAGGAGUGGCUGAGUGGUUGAAGGCACCGCUCUCGAAAAGCGGCAGGCUCGAAAGGGUCUCGUGAGUUCAAAUCUCACCUCCUCCG